AAGUCGUAACAAGGUUUCCGUAGGUGAACCUGCGGAAGGAUCAUUACCACACCCCCUUGCAAAUUACCACUUGUGAACCGAGUCAUUGUCCUUGGGGAAUUCGGAAACGUGUGUGAUAACGAGGGCAGAUUAUUCUGUCUUUCAUUCUCUCCACUGUUUCCACUCCCCCGGCGGGGUGCUGCCUACCAUGCGUGGUGGUCUCCACUCUUGCAAAUCUAUUGAACCACAUGUCAGCAGUUAAAACUGGAUGUAUUGUAUACCUUUCUCUUUUUGAGAAAUCAAGAAGAAAUGACAACUUUUAACGGUGGAUCUCUUGCUCGU
rnacentral:misc_RNA from 1 species